GAUGAGCAUAGUUUGUAAUCACAUUCUUCUUCCAAAUCUUCUAGUUUUUCGAAAAAUGUCAAAGAUGAUUCUAUUCAAGUAUGCUGCUUGCUCCAAAAAAAAAUGGGGGAACGCAUACGUAUGCGUGUCUUCUUUUCCAGGUGUCGAUAAGGUAUGUAAUCAUCAUGUGCGAAACAUGUUUGCUGUGAAGGGAGACAAUAUUGAUGAAACAACUACUGAACAAAUUGAAGAAGAUCCUUACAACUGUCGAAAUAGUUGAUAAUCCGGCACCCAAAAGUUCUCUUCCAGAAUGGUGGUAAAAUAAUGGAAUAAAUUAAAAUUACAAUAAAAUAAAAUAAAUAAUGGCGUCAAAAAUAAAAUAAAAUAAUAAUGAUAAUGGUGUCUAUUUAUGAUUAGGUAUUAUGUCGAACAGUUACUAUUUUGUCGAAAAGUUUGGACUUGAAUGCAAGUAAAAAAAAUAUAUAAACUAUAUUAACAUUCUUAUAAUCCUU